rnacentral:ncRNA from 1 species
CGGCGAGGACGAGCUCGACCUCGCCGGCGACCCGGCGAUCGGUCGCCGGGACGACCUGG